UCAUUCGGUGCACGCUUGUCAUCUUUGUUUCUCCAACCGUGCACAUAUUGUAGGCUUGUAGGCCUAUGUCCCCUUACACAAAUGCAAAUGUAUUAGAAUGUUUAUUUUAUAAAAUGAACAACUUUCAGCAACGGAUCUCUUGGCUCUCGCAUCGAUGAAGAACGCAGCGAAAUGCGAUAAGUAAUGUGAAUUGCAGAAUUCAGUGAAUCAUCGAAUCUUUGAACGCAUCUUGCGCUCCUCGGUACUCCGGGGAGCAUGCCUGUUUGAGUGUCAUUAAACUUCUCAACCCCACAUCUAGGUGUGCGGCUUUGGACCUUGGGGGCUUGCUGGAAUUUUCCAGCUCUCCUGAAAAGCAUUAGCGGUAUCUGGGCUGCUCGCAGGUGUGAUAAUGAUGUAUCUGCACCUUUUUGCAGUGGCUUUCAUUGUGCUGCUCGGAAGGCAUUAUAGACGAAUUUGACCUCAAAUCAGGUAGGACUACCCGCUGAACUUAAGCAUAUCAAUAAGCGGAGGAAAAGAAACUAACAAGGAUUCCCCUAGUAACUGCGAGUGAAGCGGGAUGAGCUCAAAUUUGAAAUCUGGCAGCCCUCGGCUGUCCGAGUUGUAAUCUAGAGAAGUUGUCACCUGUGGAGGACCGUGUAAAAGUCUCCUGGAAUGGAGCAUCAUAGAGGGUGACAAUCCCGUCUU
rnacentral:rRNA from 1 species